rnacentral:tRNA from 1 species
GGCUAUAGCUCAGUGGUAGAAUACUUGCCUAGCAUUCAAGAAGCUCUGAGUUCAAUUCUCAGCAACACA